AAACCAGCACCUCAAGUGGUCAGGAGGAUUAUUGGGCCUAAAGCAUCCGUAGCCUGCUGCAUAAGUUUUCGGUUAAAUCCAUACGCUCAACGUAUGGGCUGCCGGGAAUACUGUGCAGCUAGGGAGUGGGAGAGGUAGACGGUACUCGGUAGGAAGGGGUAAAAUCCUUUGAUCUAUUGAUGACCACCUGUGGCGAAGGCGGUCUACCAGAACACGUUCGACGGUGAGGGAUGAAAGCUGGGGGAGCAAACCGGAUUAGAUUCCCGAGUAGUCC
rnacentral:rRNA from 1 species